rnacentral:rRNA from 1 species
GACGAACGCUGGCGGCGUGCUUAACACAUGCAAGUCGAACGGAAAGGCCCUGCUUUUGUGGGGUGCUCGAGUGGCGAACGGGUGAGUAACACGUGAGUAACCUGCCCUUGACUUUGGGAUAACUUCAGGAAACUGGGGCUAAUACCGGAUAGGAGCUCCUGCUGCAUGGUGGGGGUUGGAAAGUUUCGGCGGUUGGGGAUGGACUCGCGGCUUAUCAGCUUGUUGGUUGGGUAGUGGCUUACCAAGGCUUUGACGGGUAGCCGGCCUGAGAGGGUGACCGGCCACAUUGGGACUGAGAUACGGCCCAGACUCCUACGGGAGGCAGCAGUGGGGAAUAUUGCACAAUGGGCGGAAGCCUGAUGCAGCAACGCCGCGUGCGGGAUGACGGCCUUCGGGUUGUAAACCGCUUUCGCCUGUGACGAAGCGUGAUUGACGGUAAUGGGUAAAGAAGCACCGGCUAACUACGUG